CUCGCAGCGCCAGUUGAAAUCACUUGCAAACGAUCAAAGAAAAGAAAACUUGUCGGGCAUUCAAAGAGAGUUUAUAUUGGGACUGCCACUGUUUUCAGAAAUUCUUUUGACUUCAGAUUCCCGACGAUAGUGGUUCAGGAUGACUAUGGAUAAUUUAGCUGGCAUUUCAGUGCUACCGUCUCAUCCUGUUCAUGAGGCUGAAUCACCUGGUGGUUGAUCUGUACAGGCUUAUUCCUCCACGGCACAAGAUAAUGCAUGUGUUACCUGAGCGGUUGGUAUGAUGCAGUGUUCAAGAUGCAUGUUGGACCUUCAAGUUGCCUGGUGCCAUCCUGUAAGCAGUUGGGUGUGCUAUAUUCUAAAGGAUGACUGGAUAAUUUAGCUGGCAUUUCAGUGCUACUGUCUCGUCCUGUUCAUGAGGCUGAAUCACCUGGUGGUUGAUCUUUACAGGCUUAUUCCUCAAUUGCACAAGAAGUUGCAUGUGUUACCCGAGCAUUAAUUGGUUGGUGUGAUGCAGUGUUCAAAAGUGAGCUAUUUGAAAGUAUGUUGGACCUUCAAGUUGCCUGGUGCCAUUCUGUAAGCAGUUGGGUGUCCUACAUUCUAAAGGUCUUGUCUAAGGAUAGGAGGUAGUCCAAUUCUCCUUUUUCACUUUGUGGUGAAGAUGUAUGACAAGUCAUGGGCUCUUUUGUGUUAUCUUGCAUUUCUUCUGCGGACAUAGUUCCAAUGGAAACUCACAAUUGAACCCAUUGGAAUCGUCAACUGGCGCGGCAUAAUUUUUGUUUUUUUGUGUUGCUUUUUGCAGGUAUGUCGGUAUGAAAUGUUUGCUAUAAUUUGAUCUAUGAUUAUAGCUGUACACGGCAUGCUUCUUCGGUUGUUACUUCUUAUGUUUACUUGAUGAAAGUCGAAGCUAUUUUUUUCUGUCGGAAUUUAAAAAAUUUGUUUUGUGUAUGUUGUGUAUUGGUGUAAUAUCCCUUGGC